AAACCAACUGGGAUUACCUUAGUAACGGCGAGUGAAGCGGUAAAAGCUCAAAUUUGAAAUCUGGUACUUUCAGUGCCCGAGUUGUAAUUUGUAGAAUUUGUCUUUGAUUAGGUCCUUGUCUAUGUUCCUUGGAACAGGACGUCAUAGAGGGUGAGAAUCCCGUUUGGCGAGGAUACCUUUUCUCUGUAAGACUUUUUCGAAGAGUCGAGUUGUUUGGGAAUGCAGCUCAAAGUGGGUGGUAAAUUCCAUCUAAAGCUAAAUAUUGGCGAGAGACCGAUAGCGAACAAGUACAGUGAUGGAAAGAUGAAAAGAACUUUGAAAAGAGAGUGAAAAAGUACGUGAAAUUGUUGAAAGGGAAGGGCAUUUGAUCAGACAUGGUGUUUUUGCAUGCACUCGCCUCUCGUGGGCUUGGGCCUCUCAAAAUUUCACUGGGCCAACAUCAAUUUUGGCGGCAGGAAAAAUCUUUGGAAUGUAGCUACCUCGGUAGUGUUAUAGCCUUUUGAAAUACUGUCAGCUGGGAUUGA
rnacentral:rRNA from 1 species